UUUCCGCUUCGCUUCCUUGCUUGUAGACGCUUUCGCCGUACUGGAUUUUGUAGCCUGAUUAAUCAAUAACUAAACAGCUGUCGGAGCAUUCGCCGUCAAUAUCAUUUUGUGCUGCUACUCGGCAAACCAGACGGACGUGUUUGCACAUAAACUUUGUUGAAUCAAUACAGCUACAUGCGAAAGCAUCAAUACAGAUACAUCGAAAGAUAUCCAGAUCGAGUAGAUAUGCUACUCACGCUGAUGGAAUUUUGGUCCCGACUUCACUCACUGAAUGAGAACAUCAGCGAACUGCUGCAUGAAUUGCGCCGUGAAAAUGCCCGGAUGGCAGCGGAGGCUGCCGCCGUGGAUGCUGCCGCUGCGAAUGGGGGCCCCAUUGUAGAAUUCCCUCCGGAUACCGACGACAAGCCGGAGGAGAAGCACCAGCAGUCGGAGGAGGACGACACAGAGGAGGGCGCCACCGGCGGCCAGCCCCGCUAGUCAGGGCAGCUGGAGCCACGUGGGAAAGGCGAUUUGUGCGCAGCGACUUCUUGGCCAUCCACCUAACGGCAACACAGCAAGGCAGCUCACAGGAAGAGUCGAGCUAUUUUAAUUUUGAAAAUGGAUUAUGCAAAGUUGACUUUUGUUACUCAUUGUUAGAGAAAUAAAUAUUUGAGUUUCUAAGAACUGA